rnacentral:rRNA from 1 species
AGAGUUUGAUCAUGGCUCAGAACGAACGCUGGCGGCAUGCCUAACACAUGCAAGUCGAACGAACCCUUCGGGGUUAGUGGCGCACGGGUGCGUAACGCGUGGGAAUCUGCCCUUUGCUUCGGAAUAACAGUUAGAAAUGACUGCUAAUACCGGAUGAUGUCUUCGGACCAAAGAUUUAUCGGCAAGGGAUGGGCCCGCGUAGGAUUAGGUAGUUGGUGGGGUAAAGGCCUACCAAGCCGACGACCCUUAGCUGGUCUGAGAGGACGACCAGCCACACUGGGACUGAGACACGGCCCAGACUCCUACGGGAGGCAGCAGUGGGGAAUUUUGGACAAUGGGCGCAAGCCUGAUCCAGCAAUGCCGCGUGCAGGAAGAAGGCCUUCGGGUUGUAAACUGCUUUUGUACGGAACGAAACGGUCUGGGUUAAUACCCUGGGCUAAUGACGGUACCGUAAGAAUAAGCACCGGCUAACUACGUGCCAGCAGCCGCGGUAAUACGUA